rnacentral:rRNA from 2 species
UACGGGGGGGGGCAAGCGUUGUUCGGAAUUACUGGGCGUAAAGGGCUCGUAGGCGGCCAACUAAGUCCGACGUGAAAUCCCCAGGCUUAACCUGGGAACUGCGUCGGAUACUGGAUGGCUUGAAUUCGGGAGAGGGAUGCAGAAUUCCAGGUGUAGCGGUGAAAUGCGUAGAUAUCUGGAGGAAUACCGGUGGCGAAGGCGGCAUCCUGGACCGACAUUGACGCUGAUGAGCGAAAGCUAGGGGAGCAAACGGG